rnacentral:rRNA from 1 species
UUCCUACGGGAGGCAGCAGUGGGGAAUAUUGCACAAUGGGGAAACCCUGAUGCAGCGACGCCGCGUGAGCGAAGAAGGUUUUCGAAUCGUAAAGCUCUGUCCUAUGGGGAGAUAAUGACGGUACCAUAGGAGGAAGCCCCGGCUAACUACGUGCCAGCAGCCGCGGUAAUACGUAGGGGGCAAGCGUUGUCCGGAAUCACUGGGCGUAAAGGGUUCGCAGGCGGAAAUGCAAGUCAGUUGUGAAAGGCAGAGGCUCAACCUCUGUAGGCAAUUGAAACUGUAUUUCUUGAGAUGUGGAGAGGCAAGUGGAAUUCCUAGUGUAGCGGUGAAAUGCGUAGAUAUUAGGAAGAAUACCGGUGGCGAAGGCGACUUGCUGGACACAAACUGACGCUGAGGAACGAAAGCGUGGGUAGCGAACAGGAUUAGAUACCCUGGUAGACCACGCCGUAAACGAUGAGUGCUAGGUGUCGGGGGAGACCUCGGUGCCGCAGUAAACACAAUAAGCACUCCGCCUGGGGAGUACGUGCGCAAGCAUGAAACUCAAAUGAAUUGACGGAA